AUGGAUGGGAAUCCCGCGUUCUCCCUCUCGUUUCUGUACAGCAACGACCCGAUCUACUCGCUCUGCGCGUCGGAUCUGAUGACGGCUUCCCAGUCCGUGAAUAACAACUUCAUCAAGGAACAGAAACUUCUGGUGAAGACCCUCAGGAAACUGGAGCAGCAGCAGCUGAGCCGCGUGCGCCAGCUGAACGAGGAGAAGAAACAAUUCGCUCUCCUCAUGAAGAAGAAGCUGGCCCCCAGAGGGAGGGCUCUUCGUACGCCCCCCGCCGGCUCCACCAGCUCCGCGGUCACGGCGGACAGCCCGAGGAAGGCCCCUGUCUCUGUCUCCGCGUGCUUCUCCAUCGGCAGCAGCCGGCAGAGCAGCGCCAAGGGCAGCCAGAGUGGAGGAGGCAGCUUCCAGUCAGAGUCCCGCACGCGACGCCCAGCCUACCCACAAUCCCCUGGUGGAGAGGACCAGGAUGUAAGCGGUAGAAAGAUCAACGUUUCAAAGACAUACUUCGUUUCUACAGCUCCUAGAUGCUUCUGUGAAUGCGGUCGCUCCAUUAAACUGCUGACAAGAAGUGAAAUCUGUCUUCCGGCACGGCAGGAUCAAACAUCCAUCGGAGACUUUUAAGAAGGGGACUUCAGAGCACAAAAAUCAGGAUGGUCAGUUGAGCCACAUGAGAAUAAUUUAAUACCCCAGGAGGGCCAGGUGGAUGUUAACCUACAAGGUCUUCAAAAAACAUCUAAGUCUGAGUUUGUGCCAUGGUUUGCUAGGCCUCUUAUAUCUAUGCAGAGGGUAAAGGUAAAGGUACUGUGGUUUCUGGUACAAAACAUGCUGAUAGGUUAAUUAGCAAAAUUGGCCCUGGUGUGUGUAUGUUUCUGUGUUUAUGACUGUGAUGGACAGGCAUUUUGUCCAGGGUGUACACUGCCCUGUGCCUAUUGCUUGCCAUUAUAGACUGCAACUCCCUCCACAACCCUGAAUUGGAAGACGAAAUUAGAAAAUGGAUGGAUAGAUUUUCAAUGUGCUGUUGACCAAAUAUUGUGUGCAUGUGUAAAGUUCUUUAACUCAGACAUGACAUGCUAUGGAAAACGCAUUCUAAAAACCAAUAUAGGUUCUGUGUUAAUUGUUAGGUAACACUGAAUCAGUAAGACUGUAACUUGUAAAAUUAUCAUUGUGAAAAAUAUCAAGCAAAUGAAUAUAUUUAAUUUACAGUAAUUGCUGAUGUUCACAUCUUUAUUAUUGGUUAUAACAGAAUAAUUGUUUUUAUAAAUCUGACCAUUAUACUGUCUGAUUAUACAUAUUAUUUAAUAUAAACUGAAAUAUAUUUCAGUUUAGACUCAAGGGUUUAUACUGUUUUGGGCUAAGCAGUUACUGAAAAUGAAUGGAUGAAUUAUUCAUUAGUGUUAAAUAUGAAAUGCAUGUACUGUUUCAAAAUCUUCAGUAUGCCCUUAACAUUCAAUUACCUCCCUGAAGUGCAACUCACUGUCAGAUGAAACUGAAUUAGCUUCUUGUCCAAUUGGUGCCUUCAAAUUCUCAGUAGUAAACGAAUAGAAACAGGGGUUCAGUUCAGAUGAUACUGUAUGUGUAGCCAAGCCUUUCCUCCAUCAUGUAUAUCAGGAGACCUGCCUAAAAGGAACUCCAGUAUUUAAAGGUUUCCUGUAGGAAAAUUAACACAGUGCCAGCUGUGUGUAGUCUGGCAGUAUCCUGCUGUCAGUCCCAUUUCUCUCAUGAGAAAUUAAUUCAAAAUAAGCUCUGGAAUCAACUAAGGAAUUAAUGAAGACUAAAAAGCUUUGUGCCUGACAUGCCACACCCCGCUGUAUUUUAAUAGCUGUUUGACUAACAGUUCCUGAGUUAGGUGCAGGGAGGCACCAAAUUUUCCCAAUAUAUUUUCCCCUUCCAGACAUCCGUUUUCAGAAACUGCAGAACCCUUAGAAUCCCCAUGCCUGAUAAAACGAACAUACUCAAUUAAAAAAAACAGUAUGUCCAGUAGGUUACUGUUGUUUUGCUUAGAUGCAUCAGACACUAAAAGGUGUAUGUUCGUGUCACAUCAAUUCCAUUCUUUUAAGAUUUCAGGUUCAAUUAAUUAUUCACUGAGCACUAACGAAUAUUUUCUUCCAUGUCAUGAAAUGUUAUUCGCUGUACUAUUUGGUCAAAUGGGGGAAUUUCGAAAUCAGUCAGACGAUAAAAAUGAAGAGUAUGGGAUUGACUGAUCUUCGCUGCAGGAUUAUUAUGAGCAGCAGAAAACGCUGUCUGUCAGAGCUGACUCUCAGCUGUAGACUGAAUUCUUCACUGUAAACUUUGCUCUGAUUUUUUUUUUGUUGGUUUAUGUAUAUGUUACAUAAGAGCAUACUGUAUGUUGUGUUUACAUUUGAAACUGAACGAGAUCAAAUAAAAUCACGAAUGAAUACAGAAAUGGAAAAAAUGCCUUGCCUGAUCCUUGUUUAUAUUUAAUUUAGACACAA
ensembl:lincRNA